rnacentral:lncRNA from 1 species
UACCAGGAUAAAUAAAGAAAGUAGAGGGACAUUAAAACUGCGGGUGUGGGGAGUGGGCAACCCCUGAAGUGAGGAAGGUGGGGAGGGUGUGGGGCUAGACAGGGCAAGGAAAUGGCCAGGUCCCCCAAAUCAUGCACGAUGGUCCAUAGCUUAAGUCCCAGCAGGCCCCAUUACCGC